UACGGGGGGGGGCAAGCGUUGUUCGGAAUUACUGGGCGUAAAGGGCUCGUAGGCGGCCAACUAAGUCGGAUGUGAAAUCCCCGGGCUUAACCUGGGAACUGCAUUGGUGACUGGCAGGCUUUGAGUGUGGCAGAGGGAGGUAGAAUUCCACGUGUAGCAGUGAAAUGCGUAGAGAUGUGGAGGAAUACCGAUGGCGAAGGCAGCCUCCUGGGCCAACACUGACGCUCAUGCACGAAAGCGUGGGGAGCAAACAGG
rnacentral:rRNA from 1 species